GGCGGGGCAAUCACACAAUCGCAUGUGGCGCGCGGUGGCCAGUACGGUCUGGGCGGAAAAUGUGCCAGGGUGUUUGGAAAUAAGAAUUUUGCAAGGAACUCCUACCUCCUCACUGACCAAAGCACUGGAUGAAAUGGACCAGGACAUGGGAAUGUGGUCUGCUGCCCUCUGUGGUGACCUAUCAAGAGUUCAGAAGCUAUAAUGUCAUCUGGAUGCAGUGUUAAUAGUGUGGAUAAAUUAGGCUACACUACUCUGAUUGUAGAUGGCAAGUGCUUGAUAUGUAACAAACGAUCAAGACCAAAUUCAGAAGCAAGCUCAAAAUAGGCCUACAUAUGCUACCUUGCUACCUUCAUCAUAGAGCUUGGAAAAUGUGACUGCUAAUUGGAUUAGUAUGAGGAAUUGAGAUGAUCAUUGUAUUAUCUGCAAGGCUGCGGAACAAGACCAUGAACAAUUUUGCAAGGUGCUUCUCAAAGCUCAACCAAGCAUUAACACUGCGCCUCAAAGACCACAGAGGACGGACACCUCUAGACUGCAUGAAGAAGGACAGUGAACCUGGACAGACAGUCCAUCCUUCAUGAUGAUCUAAAAUGUAUUUCAGGUUACUUGUGUAGAUAGAAUAUUGUUACAUUCGAUACAGAGAUGGCAUUUUAUCAUUGUUAUCAUUAUUAUAUUCACCUUUGGUUUUGUUGAUUUCACUGAUUAAUCGACGUGACUAUUGGUGAUGCAAUUAGAGUUGUCUCUUGGUACUUGUCUGCUUUUACUUUGGUGUCAUCCCACAUGGUUCAAUCCUAGUUCGCCUACAUCCAGUUCAUCUACUAGCCAUUUAGUAGACUAUAUACCAUUUUGUUUAUUUUUCUAGUUAGGCUGCAUCUGUUUUGUCUAAUGAUAUCUAUUUGGGCUAUAACCACUUAGUCUAUGUGGUAAAUUCAAUUGCUUAUGAACCAAAUUUUCAUUUGACAAAGUGCAAACUAAUAGAUUGAAUCAGGAAUCAGAAUGGAGUCAAAGUCCAAUGUCACUUUGCUAAAAUACUAUGUGUGCCCACUGGUGCGUGGUCGAGCUUCACUCCCUGAAGUAGGGGACGGAUUAACAUUGACGUUAGAAUCCUUAUCUUUGACUUGGCUUUGCAUAAAUUGAAAGUCCCCCAAUUUUGCAAGUCUUUGUUCACUGUCAUUAUGGUGCACAUAAGCGUCAUCUACUGUAAUGUCGAUCAGGGGAUUACAAAAUAAAAUAAUUGCACAAAGUAUAAUUUUGGCAUUUAACUUAAUUGACAGACUAAAUGAUGAUUGGACCAAAAUGUCCAAUUGAUCGUCUGCCAGAAUGCCGCAUUGACGGUUACCAAGUAUUUAAUCAAAUCAAAUCAAAUCAUUUAUUUCCACAAUAAUAUAAAAACAUUACAAAUAUGUACAAAAUAGGAAACAAGCAUAAUUGAAAAGGAAAGGAAAGUGAACCGAGUUGUUCAAAAAUAAUACAAAGAAAUGUACAUUACUGUGGGGAAGCCAAAGAAGGCAGAUUAAGUCUUAAAAUCAGGCACCCAACAUAAAAUAAUAAUUUUUAAAGGGAAGGUUCACCCAAAAAAGUUUAUUGU